ensembl:snoRNA
UGUCCCUGGCCUGGGUAGAGUGGUGGCCAUGUCAGAUCAGCCAGGAACAAAACAACCUCUUGUUCAUCCCAGCUUGACUUUUGGUCAGUGGCCUUGCCUGAUUCAUGACUUGGACCCAUGG